UCUUGAAGAUAAAAGGUGAGCCAGUACAGGAUGGACCCGCGUCUGAUUAGCGAGUUGGUAAGGUAACGGCUUACCAAGGCGACGAUCAGUAGCCGACCGGAGAGGGUGAUCGGCCACAUUGGAACUGAGACACGGUCCAAACUCCUACGGGAGGCAGCAGGGGGGAAUAUUGCACAAUGGGCGAAAGCC
rnacentral:rRNA from 1 species